UGGGGAAUAUUCGGCAAUGGGCGAAAGCCUGACCGAGCGACGCCGCGUGAGCGAAGAAGGCCUUCGGGUCGUAAAGCUCUGUCUAGUGGGACGAAGAAAGUGACGGUACCACUGGAGGAAGCACCGGCUAACUCCGUGCCAGCAGCCGCGGUAAUACGGGGGGUGCAAGCGUUGUCCGGAAUCAUUGGGCGUAAAGCGUUCGUAGGCGGUAUAUCAAGUCUGGUGUUAAAGCCCGGGGCUCAACUCCGGUUCGGCACUGGAUACUGGUAAACUAGAAUGUGGUAGAGGUAAAGGGAAUUCCUGGUGUAGCGGUGAAAUGCGUAGAUAUCAGGAGGAACAUCAGUGGCGAAGGCGGCUUUCUGGACUGUAACUGACGCUGAGGUGCGAAAGCCAGGGGAGCGAACG
rnacentral:rRNA from 1 species